UCUCCCGUCGUCUAGUUGGUUUAUGACACGGUGCUUAUAACGCCGUUGUCCGGGGUUCGAGUCCCCGCGGGAGAA
rnacentral:tRNA from 1 species